UACGGGGGGUGCGAGCGUUGUCCGGAAUCACUGGGCGUAAAGGGCGCGUAGGUGGCGGCUUAAAUCUGUGGUGAAAGCCCGGGGCUCAACCCCGGGUCGGCCGUGGAGACUGAGUCGCUCGAGGGCACUAGAGGGGGGCAGAAUUCCGGGUGUAGCGGUGGAAUGCGUAGAGAUCCGGAAGAAGACCGGUGGCGAAGGCGGCCCCCUGGGGUGUUCCUGACACUGAGGCGCGACAGCGUGGGGAGCAAACAGG
rnacentral:rRNA from 1 species